CAAUACGGCUCAAGGUGCCAGAGGCCCUUAUAAACCCAACAAAAAAAAAAUAACUUUCUCAAGUGAUAAUUAAUAACAUCCAACAUAUUGUAAGUGUUGGAGACAUCAUCAGUGGCAGGAGGAACCUUACAACAUAAUAAACUCGUAAAAUAAAACCUGAUAAACCUACAAAACUCAAGAGAUGAUGAUGAUGCAGAGCAGCCAGUGGCUAGCCUGCCAGGGGUCAACAGAUACGGAGUCAACAAACUUGAGGCUGCUCUUAAGCCACUUAUACUGAAUGGUCUUUCCUCUGUCUUAUUAUUUGGUGUUCCCUCAAAUAUGCCGAAGGAUGAACGUGGCUCUAGUGCCGAUGCAGCCAACACACCAGUCAUUGUAGCAGUGAAGCUCCUACGGCAAGCAUUCCCUGAUCUCCUUGUGGCAUGUGAUGUAAGUUGUCCUGGGUUUUUG